GUACCCACAAUUACUUGGAUAACUGUGGUAAUUCUAGAGCUAAUACAUGCAAACAGAGCUCCGACCGGAGACGGAAGGAGUGCUUUUAUUAGAUCAAAACCAAUCGGUGGCGAGUUGGUGACUCUGAAUAACUUUACGCUGAUCGCACGGUCUCGCACCG
rnacentral:rRNA from 1 species